rnacentral:rRNA from 1 species
UGCAAGUCGAGCGGUAACAGAAAGAAAGCUUGCUUUCUUUGCUGACGAGCGGCGGACGGGUGAGUAAUGCCUGGGAAAUUGCCUUGAUGUGGGGGAUAACCAUUGGAAACGAUGGCUAAUACCGCAUAAUGCCUUCGGGCCAAAGAGGGGGACCUUCGGGCCUCUCGCGUCAAGAUAUGCCCAGGUGAGAUUAGCUUGUUGGUGAGGUAAGAGCUCACCAAGGCGACGAUCUCUAGCUGGUCUGAGAGGAUGAUCAGCCACAUUGGGACUGAGACACGGCCCAAACUCCUACGGGAGGCAGCAGUGGGGAAUAUUGCACAAUGGGCGCAAGCCUGAUGCAGCCAUGCCGCGUGUAUGAAGAAGGCCUUCGGGUUGUAAAGUACUUUCAGCAGUGAGGAAGGGGUGAUGUUUAAUAGACAYCAUUCUUGACGUUAGCUGCAGAAGAAGCACCGGCUAACUCCGUGCCAGCAGCCGCGGUAAUACGGAGGGUGCGAGCGUUAAUCGGAAUUACUGGGCGUAAAGCGCAUGCAGGUGGUCUGUUAAGUCAGAUGUGAAAGCCCGAGGCUUAACCUCGGAAUAGCAUUUGAAACUGGCAGGCUAGAGUACUGUAGAGGGGGGUAGAAUUUCAGGUGUAGCGGUGAAAUGCGUAGAGAUCUGAAGGAAUACCAGUGGCGAAGGCGGCCCCCUGGACAGAUACUGACACUCAGAUGCGAAAGCGUGGGGAGCAAACAGGAUUAGAUACCCUGGUAGUCCACGCCGUAAACGAUGUCUACUUGGAGGUUGUGGCCUUGAGCCGUGGCUUUCGGAGCUAACGCGUUAAGUAGACCGCCUGGGGAGUACGGUCGCAAGAUUAAAACUCAAAUGAAUUGACGGGGGCCCGCACAAGCGGUGGAGCAUGUGGUUUAAUUCGAUGCAACGCGAAGAACCUUACCUACUCUUGACAUCCAGAGAACUUAGCAGAGAUGCUUUGGUGCCUUCGGGAACUCUGAGACAGGUGCUGCAUGGCUGUCGUCAGCUCGUGUUG